CAGUCGCCGCGGGAAUACGUAGGUGGCAAGCGUUGUCCGGAAUUAUUGGGCGUAAAGGGCUCGCAGGCGGUUUCUUAAGUCUGAUGUGAAAGCCCCCGGCUCAACCGGGGAGGGUCAUUGGAAACUGGGAAACUUGAGUGCAGAAGAGGAGAGUGGAAUUCCACGUGUAGCGGUGAAAUGCGUAGAGAUGUGGAGGAACACCAGUGGCGAAGGCGACUCUCUGGUCUGAAACUGACGCUGAGGAGCGAAAGCGUGGGGAGCGAACAGGAUUAGAUACCCCAGUAGUCCCUGUCUCUUAUAC
rnacentral:rRNA from 1 species